GCGGUGAAAUGCGUAGAGAUCGGGAGGAAUACCAGUGGCGAAGGCGGCCUUCUGGACUGACACUGACACUGAGGUGCGAAAGCGUGGGUAGCAAACAGGAUUAGAUACCCUGGUAGUCCACGCCGUAAACGAUGUCAACUAGCCGUUGGGUCCCUUGAGGACUUAGUGGCGCAGCUAACGCAAUAAGUUGACCGCCUGGGGAGUACGGCCGCAAGGUUAAAACUCAAAUGAAUUGACGGGGGCCCGCACAAGCGGUGGAGCAUGUGGUUUAAUUCGAUGCAACGCGAAGAACCUUACCUACCCUUGACAUCCAGAGGACUUUCCAGAGAUGGAUUGGUGCCUUCGGGAACUCUGAGACAGGUGCUGCAUGGCUGUCGUCAGCUCGUGUUGUGAAAUGUUGGGUUAAGUCCCGUAACGAGCGCAACCCCUAUCCUUAUUUGCCAGCGAGUAAUGUCGGGAACUCUAAGGAGACUGCCGGUGACAAACCGGAGGAAGGUGGGGACGACGUCAAGUCAUCAUGGCCCUUACGGGUAGGGCUACACACGUGCUACAAUGGCAAGUACAAAGGGUUGCAAUACGGCGACGUGGAGCCAAUCCCAUAAAGCUUGCCUCAGUCCGGAUUGGAGUCUGCAACUCGACUCCAUGAAGUCGGAAUCGCUAGUAAUCGUGGAUCAGAAUGCCACGGUGAAUACGUUCCCGGGCCUUGUACACACCGCCCGUCACACCAUGGGAGUGGACUGCACC
rnacentral:rRNA from 1 species